CGCGUGAGGGAGGGGCUCUUGGGUUGUAAACCUCUUUUCUCAGGGAAGAAUGAUGACGGUACCUGAGGAAUAAGCAUCGGCUAACUCCGUGCCAGCAGCCGCGGUAAUACGGAGGAUGCAAGCGUUAUCCGGAAUGAUUGGGCGUAAAGCGUCCGCAGGUGGCAAUGUAAGUCUGCUGUCAAAGCGUCUGGCUCAACCAGAUAAAGGCAGUGGAAACUACAUAGCUAGAGUAAGGUAGGGGUAGAGGGAAUUCCUGGUGUAGCGGUGAAAUGCGUAGAGAUCAGGAAGAACACCGGUGGCGAAAGCGCUCUGCUGGACCUUAACUGACACUGAGGGACGAAAGCUAGGGGAGCGAAUGGGAUUAGAUACCCCUAG
rnacentral:rRNA from 2 species